GCCUACUUAACUGCUUUGAUACGGCAGGAGUCAUUGGUUCAAAUCCAGUAGUAGGUA
rnacentral:tRNA from 1 species